GACGAACGCUGGCGGCGUGCUUAACACAUGCAAGUCGAACGGAAAGGCCCUGCUUUUGUGGGGUGCUCGAGUGGCGAACGGGUGAGUAACACGUGAGUAACCUGCCCUUGACUUUGGGAUAACUUCAGGAAACUGGGGCUAAUACCGGAUAGGAGCUCCUGCUGCAUGGUGGGGGUUGGAAAGUUUCGGCGGUUGGGGAUGGACUCGCGGCUUAUCAGCUUGUUGGUGGGGUAGUGGCUUACCAAGGCUUUGACGGGUAGCCGGCCUGAGAGGGUGACCGGCCACAUUGGGACUGAGAUACGGACCAGACGCCUACGGGAGGCAGCAGUGGGGAAUAUUGCACAAUGGGCGGAAGCCUGAUGCAGCAACGCCGCGUGCGGGAUGACGGCCUUCGGGUUGUAAACCGCUUUCGCCUGUGACGAAGCGGGAGUGACGGUAAUGGGUAAAGAAGCACCGGCUAACUACGUG
rnacentral:rRNA from 1 species